AAGUCACUACUGGUUUGGGGUGCCACUCUUGAGAGAAGGGAAGAAAGAGCAUUUGGUGCUUCCUGAAAAUCAACACCAGUCAAGGCAUCUCAGUUGAAGGAGGAAAACCCUGUUUGUGUGGCCAAGAGGAUGUGUAAACCCCAUGGAUUUACAUAAACAGGCUCUGCAGCAGGCUGACUGAUCCCAAGGACAAUAUGGAAGAUGAAAUGUUGGUGACCAGACUUGCUCAGUGAAGGUAAGCUGUGGAGCUAGCCUGGCAGAAAGACUUUUUUGCUCCUUGACUCCUGACUCCCACUCCACUCUCCUUCCUUUUGUUCCACAGAAUUUCAGUAACUCACAUGAAAUUACCACUACAGAGCUUUGGUGACCAAUUACACUACACCUUUUUUCAUGAUGUAAUUUAACUUCUGCUUCCAUUGAAUUACAUUACAAAUGCUUCAUAUACAAAAGGCAAGUUCCCAGGUUCCCAAGGACAACCUUAUAGAGAAGGAUUGGCACUUUGCAGUAUGCAGAAAGACUGAUGGAGAAAAGAUCUGCAUUGCCGUGUGCCCUGAAGGUUAACAGACUUGGACUGUUCUGUACCAAGGGGAAGAGGAGCAUUUCAAAGGUGCAGGGCCCUAAUGGAGAACAGCUUGCCAGCAGCUCAUUCUCUUUUAA